GACGAACGCUGGCGGCGUGCUUAACACAUGCAAGUCAAACGAUGAACCGGAGCUUGCUCCGGUGGAUUAGUGGCGAACGGGUGAGUAACACGUGAGUAACCUGCCCUUGACUCUGGGAUAACUGCGGGAAACUGUAGCUAAUACCGGAUACGACCCUCGGCGGCAUCGCCAGGGGGUGGAAAGAAUCUCGGUCAAGGAUGGACUCGCGGCCUAUCAGCUAGUUGGUGAGGUAACGGCUCACCAAGGCGACGACGGGUAGCCGGCCUGAGAGGGUGACCGGCCACACUGGGACUGAGACACGGCCCAGACUCCUACGGGAGGCAGCAGUGGGGAAUAUUGCACAAUGGGCGCAAGCCUGAUGCAGCAACGCCGCGUGAGGGAUGACGGCCUUCGGGUUGUAAACCUCUUUUAGUAGGGAAGAAGCGAAAGUGACGGUACCUGCAGAAAAAGCACCGGCUAACUACGUGCCAGCCGCCGCCGUAA
rnacentral:rRNA from 1 species